rnacentral:rRNA from 1 species
GCAACUCGCCUGCAUGAAGCUGGAAUUGCUAGUAAUCGCGGAUCAGCAAGCCGCGGUGAAUACGUUCCCGGGCCUUGUACACACCGCCCGUCACACCAUGAGAGUCGGGAACACCCGAAGUCCGUAGUCUAACCGCAAGGGGGGCGCGGCCGAAGGUGGGUCCGGUAAUUGGGGUGAAGUCGUAACAAGGUAAC